GAUGAAGAACGCAGCGAAAUGCGAUACUUGGUGUGAACUGCAGAAUCCCGUGAACCAUCGAGUCUUUGAACGCAAGUUGCGCCCGAAGCCAUUAGGCCGAGGGCACGCCUGCCUGGGCGUCACACGUCGUUGCCCCCCCAUCUACUCCUUCGGGAUUGCGGGGGGCGGAUGAUGGCCUCCCGUGCGCCUCGUCGCGCGGUUGGCAUAAAUGCCAAGUCCUCGGCGACGCACGCCACGACAAUCGGUGGUUGCGAAACCUCGGUUGCCCGUCGUGUGCGGUCGUCGCGCAUCGAGGGCUCGAAAAAAUUGCCGGGCUCCGGCUCGACUUUCAACGCGACCCCAGGUCAGGCGGGGUUACCCGCUGAAUUUAAGCAUAUCAAUAAGCGGAGGA
rnacentral:misc_RNA from 1 species